GGAUUAGAUACCCUGGUAGUCCACGCCGUAAACGAUGGAUGCUAGGUGUCGGAGGAUUCACCCCUUCGGUGCCGAAGUUAACGCAUUAAGCAUCCCGCCUGGGGAGUACGGUCGCAAGAUUAAAACUCAAAGGAAUUGACGGGGGCCCGCACAAGCGGUGGAGUAUGUGGUUUAAUUCGACGCAACGCGCAGAACCUUACCCAGGCUUGACAUCCUCGGAACCUGAUGGAAACAUCGGGGUGUCCCCUCACGGGGAAGCCGAGUGACAGGUGCUGCAUGGCUGUCGUCAGCUCGUGUCG
rnacentral:rRNA from 1 species